rnacentral:rRNA from 1 species
UCUUUGCGUGUCUUGGAGUCGGGUUGUUUGGGAUCGCAGCCCAAAGYAGGUGGUAAACUUCAUCUAAGACUGAAUAUGACUACGAGUCCGAUAGCGAACAAGUACCGUGAGGGAAAGUUGCAAAGCACUUUGAAGAGAGAGUUAAAGAGGACGUGAAACCGAUGAGGUGGAAACGGACAGAGCUGGCGUAUCUGGCCUGUAUUCAGCCGUGCGUCCGUUGGCGUCAGGGAUGCCGCUCUCCAGAUUGGGACGGUGGCCUGUCUGCUGGCGGAUGUGUGGUGCAUUUGCAGGUGGAGUGCGCUGAGGCGCUCGGGUCAGCGGCAUGAGCUCAGUGUUGAGGCCAGCCCCUCACGGGGUCUGGUACCCGCAUUGUGGGGAGUGCUGUUUGUCCUGGGUGUGUGGAGGGCAAUGGUUUCGGGUUCGUGUGGGUGCCGAGCUGGCAGUCGGUGGCGGUCGCGUGCGACACGUGCCAGCGGUCAGUUCGGUCCUGCUCGAGCUCUCAUCUGCUCGUCCUCGGUGUAAAAGCCGGUCAUCUGUCCGACCC